rnacentral:tRNA from 3 species
GCCCGGGUGGUGAAAUUGGUAGACACGCAAGACUUAAAAUCUUGUUCCCAUUAGGGAGUGCCGGUUCGAUUCCGGCCCCGGGCACCA